CACCCACCUCUGCGCUAUGAAUUGUGGGAUAUAUGGGACCACGAAGCGUGCACCGGACCACGCUUGAUAUUUGGGGAAAUCGACGGCGCAUUUGGAGUAUGCAUUUUAAGUACACUUUGAAUUGGGACAGCCGUCGUCGCGUGGCGGUGACGUAUUCGCACUUGAAAUGCGUACUUCAAGCGUGCAGACCCUGAAUUGGGACACAGCCACUGUGUUGGAAGGAAGAGUGCUACGAACCACACUUAAAAGCAGCUCAAAAGAAAAAGGACGUUAUAGAGACAGAUUGCGACCGGAUGCAAAGAGACGGUACUUGCAAACAAUAGCGUGCAUUGAAAAUGUGGACCCGUAUGAAAUACGGCAGUGGAGUAGAAACCCUGAAGACUAACCGCUAUUGCCUUAGCCUGAUAUAUUCUCGUACCUCGUCUGUGGAGUCAGCGCAUACACGGCGAACCAGUUUCGCAAUUAUAAGUCUCUGGAGGCGCACAUCCAAUUCACCAAUGGUUGGGUAGAAGAUUUGGCUUUUUUUAAGCCUCCACGUUGUGAAUAUGCCGUCAUUCAAACAAAGGUACUGCACUCUCAAAGACUGAAUGAACCAGCAUUGCAGCCAUGGGUCACUGUGAGCAUCACAGGGAAGGUUGAAGCCGCCCACUGCACCUGUAUGGCCGGAGUCGUGAAGACCUGCAGGCAUGUCGCUGAUCUUCUGUUUAAUGUAGAAGCAACAGUGCGGAUCCGUGGCACAAGGACUGUUACAGAUGAACCUGCAUACUGGGUUUUGCUGGGUAAUAUGACCAAGAUACAGCCAUAAGAUGGACUCUUCAGCUGCCCAAAAAAGGCUCUCGAUCAAAACAUAAACAGACCAUCUGUACUAACAGGACAAUUCUGGAGAAGAUGGGCCUGCAGGGGAAAGUCACCCCCUUGCAGGCCAGAAGACAUGAGAUAACUUUAAAGAAUACAAAGAUUGCAAGUAUCCAGGCUCAGGAGAGGGGGUCAGUGGGAAGCCCACUGCUGCUACUUGGCCCUGGUUUGCCCUCAUGGAUGAGGUGAUAGGACAGAGGCCUUCCAUUAAGCCUCCUGUCCUAAUUUCCUCUCUCCCUGAGGACACUCCAGGGCCAAGCACAGCAGUGGGUGACCAAAACGACAGUGAUGACGAAGCGGCUCAGCCACCUACGACAGGAAGGAAGAGGAAAAGAGAUGAUGAGCUGCUAGACCUCAUCAGAGAGGACAUGAGGCAGCAAAGAGAGGCUGAGGAGAGGAGAGCAGGGAGAGGAUGGACAGACUGUUUUCACUUCUAGAAAGAUGUGUUCCAAAAUGAGUUAUAUAUUGAGAAAUUUAUUUAUUUGAAUAUAUUUGUUACAUUGUUACAUGUGUUGCAUUAGUUUAAAGGUUUUAUGUUAUUAAUAAAUUGAUUCAAACAAACAGU